rnacentral:rRNA from 1 species
UACGGAGGGGGCUAGCGUUGUUCGGAAUUACUGGUCGUAAAGCGCACGUAGGCGGAUAUUUAAGUCAGGGGUGAAAUCCCGGGGCUCAACCCCGGAACUGCCUUUGAUACUGGGUAUCUGGAGGUCGAGAGAGGCGAGUGGAAUUCCGAGUGUAGAGGUGAAAUUCGUAGAUAUUCGGAGGAACACCAGUGGCGAAGGCGGCUCGCUGGCUCGAUACUGACGCUGAGGUGCGAAAGCGUGGGGAGCAAACAGG